UUCCUGAUAGUUCAGUGGUUAGGAUUCUGCAUUUUCACUGCAGUGACCAGGUUCAAUCCCUGGUUAGGGAA